UAUCCAAAUGAGACAACAAAAGUAUUGAAAAGUACUGUCCAAAAACUGUACCCUCUGCUAGGGUGUCUGUCUGACAAAGCUAACAGCGAUCCCAACGCCGCCUGGUGGCCAAGUGCGGCUUGCCAUCAGACAACAGGUGAAAACAGGUAGGACGAGUUGGCGAAAGGGGAGAAACUUUCAAAACACCGUGUACGUUCGUCUGUGUGACAUCAAGUCGGCACCCGCCCUGGUUGCCAUGGACUUCAUCAAGAUGUGUGCAGCGUGCACCGUGGUGGGACUUCAUCAAGAUGUGUGCAGCAUGCACCGUGGUGGGACUUCAUCAAGAUGUGUGCAGCGUGCACCGUGGUGGGACUUCAUCAAGAUGUGUUGCAGCGUGCACCGUGGUGGGACUCUUUAACCCCGCUUGCAAGAGCCAGGGGCCAUUAUACCGAUCGGUAUACGAUCUUUGCAAGAGCAAUUAUUGUAAUAAAUGACCAAUAUAACAAAUCUCUGGGAAACUGCAGACACGCAGUUCGGAAUUUGAAAUGUCAUCGAUUAUAUUCUGGCCAAAGAAUAAGCGCGCACGUGUUCGAAAACAUGUCUUGCCAAAUUACAGGACAAUAAUGCAGUAAACUUCAUCACACAAACCUAUGUACAAUUCUCUUAUGUUUGCGAAACGUCAAACUACGCUUGUUUUAAUAGCCUGAGAUUAAUAAAUCCUUCUAAAUACGA